GGCUGUUCGCCAAUUAAAGUGGUACGCGAGCUGGGUUCAGAACGUCGUGAGACAGUUCGGUCCCUAUCUGCUGUGGGCGCAAGAAACUUGAGAGGCUCUGACCUUAGUACGAGAGGACCGGGUUGGACGUACCUCUAGUGCACCAGUUGUCACGCCAGUGGCACCGCUGGGUAGCUAAGUACGGAUGGGAUAACCGCUGAAAGCAUCUAAGUGGGAAGCCCACCUCAAGAUUAGGUUUCUCUGGCGCAAGCCCUGUAGAUCCGUUCUAGACGAGGACGUUGAUAGGCUAGAGGUGGAAGUGCGGCAACGCAUGGAGCUGACUAGUACUAACCGAUCGUGAGGCUUAUUUUU
rnacentral:rRNA from 1 species